GGCGAACGGGUGAGUAAUGCAUCGGAACGUGCCCAGUAGUGGGGGAUAGCCCGGCGAAAGCCGGAUUAAUACCGCAUACGACCUAUGGGUGAAAGCGGGGGACCGUAAGGCCUCGCGCUAUUGGAGCGGCCGAUGUCAGAUUAGGUAGUUGGUGGGGUAAAGGCCUACCAAGCCUACGAUCUGUAGCUGGUCUGAGAGGACGACCAGCCACACUGGGACUGAGACACGGCCCAGACUCCUACGGGAGGCAGCAGUGGGGAAUUUUGGACAAUGGGCGCAAGCCUGAUCCAGCCAUGCCGCGUGCGGGAAGAAGGCCUUCGGGUUGUAAACCGCUUUUGUCAGGGAAGAAAUCCUUUGGGCUAAUACCCCGGGGGGAUGACGGUACCUGAAGAAUAAGCACCGGCUAACU
rnacentral:rRNA from 1 species